UACGGAGGGUGCGAGCGUUGUUCGGAAUUACUGGGCGUAAAGCGCGUGUAGGCGGUCUUCUAAGUCUGGUGUGAAAGCCCGGGGCUCACCCCCGGAAGUGCAUUGGAUACUGGGAGACUGGAGUACCGGAGAGGAGGGUGGAAUUCCUGGUGUAGCGGUGAAAUGCGUAGAUAUCAGGAGGAACACCGGUGGCGAAGGCGGCCCUCUGGACGGAUACUGACGCUGAGACGCGAAAGCGUGGGGAGCAAACAGG
rnacentral:rRNA from 1 species